CACAGUACACAACGACUGUUUAAAAUAAAAUUAAAUUAGUUUGAAAUGUAGCAGUACUUUCUCUGCGUCUUUUGAAGCAUAGAAUCACGAAGAAUAAAAUAUUUCAACAACAUAGAUGUAUGGACCCAUAGCGAUUAUUUCUUGGAAGGAGUCAACCGACUCAUAAGGAAUCGAAAAUAUCAAUUUGAAGCUGAUUUGGUUGGAAAUAUGAGCCGGAACGUUUAAAAUAUUCAAAAUCACUUAUCGGAUCAAAGCCUUCAAAAUACCGAAAAUCCGGGGUUAACGUUAAAUGAUGGCUAUACCAUAAAGUGAACGAACACUGAAUAUUAAUUGCGAGGAGCAACAAAGAAACCAAAAUAUCAACUGUCAACUGAUAUGGUUCGAAAUUGGGACAGCAGCUAAUAAAACCAAAAUUAGAAAGUACCAUUAUAUGGGGCUAUACUAAAAGGUUGUCCUAUAUUAAUUUUUUUUAGAACUUAAUCUACCCAAGAAAUCCUAAAAUAUCAAAUCUUUGUGGAAAAA